rnacentral:rRNA from 1 species
ACUGGUUUGUAAAUGUGGGUUAAGUCCGCAAAGAGGCAACCCUUGUCUUUAUUCCAGCGGGUAUACGGGAACUCAGGAGAGUGCCGGUGACAAACAGGAGAAGGGGGGGGGAAGCAAGAACAUGGCCCUUACGAGUAGGGCUACACACCUGUCAAGGCCGACAAAAGGGCAGCGACUGAGGGAAGUCAGCUAAUUCGAAAAGCCGGUCUCAGUCCGGAUGGGAGUCUGCAACUCGACUCCAUGAAGUCGGAAUCGCUAGUAAUCGUGAAUCAGAAUGGCGGUGAAUACGUUCCCGGGCCUGUACACACCGCCCGU